CUCCUGCCUUAGCCUCCUGAGUAGCUAGGAUUAUAGGCAUGCACCACCAUACCCAGCUAAUUUUUGUAUUUUUAGUAGAGACUGGGUUUCUCCAUGUUGAUCAGGCUGGUCUCGAACUCCCAACCUCAGGUGAUCUGUCUGUCUUGGCCUCCAGAAGUGCUGGGAUUACAGGCGUGAGCCACUGCACCCGGCCUUGAUCACACUUUUAAAAUGUCUAUGGCCUACACCAGACUGGGAGCCCCUCAGAGCAGAGGUUGGUCUGAUUAAGCACUGAUGUCCCCACUUCUCAGUGGCAAGGCUCCUGCUAGCUCCUACACUUUGGGGAGGGAGCAGGAGCUGGGUGUCAGGAGGCCCAGUCCAUUUCCUUCCCUGGACUGCAGUCCCUCAUCUGUAUGUUGGAGACUGAGGGCCCCUGGCUGAUCCUCUAAGGACUGGGAGUGAAAUUUUGGGGGUAGGGACAGCAGCUGACCUCCAAGACACCCUUAUCAGUCCUCUAUAGGCAACCCCAGACGGACAUGAGACUGGGCUGUGCAACAGGCGUGAUCUGGGCCAUUCCAGCCAAAGGUCAAUCCUCAGUAGCCAGCUGCAACUGGCCUGGCCCUGGGCCCUACUUGCCCAUCCCCCUACCGUCUCCUCCCCUGAGAGCCAGGAAUAAAAGGGAUCUUGGCUGGCCACACUUCUGGCGUGGGCUCAGGAACACGUGUGCAGACAUAUGAGGCCGUGUAUGGUAGAAAAGGUACUGUAUUGGAGAUUGGGAGACCUGGAUUCCAACUUCAACUCUCUCAUCACCUGACUGAAUAAAGAAGCCCAACUUCAACUCUCUCCUCAACUGACUAAAUAACUUUAAAGAAGUCAACCCUUCAGAGUUGAAACUUCAAGAGUUUCAAGAGUCAAAAUAUCUGAGUCAAAGCUCUGAAGAACUCCAUUUCCCCAUCUGUGGAACGGCAGCAGUGGAAGACAGAGAAGUGUAGCAUUUCAGCGACAAGAUUCCAGCCUCAAAUUCACUUCCUAGGCAAUCUCUUCGAAUACACAAAUCAGUUACUAGCCCCAUCUGUGCCUUAGUUUCCUCAUUUGUCGAUGGAGAUGAUUGCAGGACUGACCUCACGGGUUGUUCUGAGGAUUAAAUGGGAUACUGCACGUAGAGCCCUUUGCAGGUCCCCAGCACACAGCGAGCUUUAGAUAGCUGGUGGCUAUUUUUGCCCUUGUUAUGUAUCAUUCCAGAGUUGUAUAACUGGCUUGGUCCUGUGGCCUCACCAACUUGACACAACUCCUAGGCUCUGUAUCAAAGGACAUUGCACAGAGGAGACAAUGUCUGGUGGAAGGAGAGUUUAAAGGGCUUCCCUUCUCCCAGUCUCACCUGCCCUGCCUCUAAUGCCUUUCCUGGCUUCAGAAAGAGGAAACAGAUUCCCCAGGGGCUCCGGGCACACAGCUGGGCUCCCAGGUGAGCUGAUCCGUGUGGGAUGAGUGUGCGGCUCUAACCUGAUGUGGUCUGCUGAAUAGCACAGUCAAAUCCUAUUUCCUUUCCAUUUAGUGAAGUGGAUCGAAAUAAUGCAGGCGUAACCUUUUCCCACUUUCCGUGCCAGCAUUCAUUCAGAGAGGGUUUUGUCAUUGUUACUGAUGUUGCUGUUUUUGUUUUAUUGUGAUUCUUCAGGUUAGAAUGUAUUUAUUUUGUAGUAUUUCUUUAAAAUUUUUGAAAUUAUGGUGAAAUAUAAGGAACAUAAAAUUUACCAUUGGAACCAUUUUUAAGUGUACAGUUCAAUGGUGUUAAG
rnacentral:lncRNA from 1 species